rnacentral:rRNA from 1 species
AUUGAACGCUGGCGGCAGGCCUAACACAUGCCAGUCGAGCGGAUGAAGGGAGCUUGCUCCUGGAUUCAGCGGCGGACGGGUGAGUAAUGCCUAGGAAUCUGCCUGGUAGUGGGGGAUAACGUCCGGAAACGGGCGCUAAUACCGCAUACGUCCUGAGGGAGAAAGUGGGGGAUCUUCGGACCUCACGCUAUCAGAUGAGCCUAGGUCGGAUUAGCUAGUUGGUGGGGUAAAGGCCUACCAAGGCGACGAUCCGUAACUGGUCUGAGAGGAUGAUCAGUCACACUGGAACUGAGACACGGUCCAGACUCCUACGGGAGGCAGCAGUGGGGAAUAUUGGACAAUGGGCGAAAGCCUGAUCCAGCCAUGCCGCGUGUGUGAAGAAGGUCUUCGGAUUGUAAAGCUCUUUAAGUUGGGAGGAAGGGCAGUAAGUUAAUACCUUGCUGUUUUGACGUUACCAACAGAAUAAGCACCGGCUAACUUCGUG